AGAGUAAAGCAGCGUUCGUUAAGUGUUGGCCGGACGGGGAGUUGACGGUCAAACGAAAAGCCGCAGGGCGGCUUGCGGAGCGCGGCUUGCAUCCCGCU
rnacentral:ncRNA from 1 species